AGUGAACGCUGGCGGUAGGCCUAACACAUGCAAGUCGAACGGCAGCACAGGAGAGCUUGCUCUCUGGGUGGCGAGUGGCGGACGGGUGAGGAAUACAUCGGAAUCUACUCUGUCGUGGGGGAUAACGUAGGGAAACUUACGCUAAUACCGCAUACGACCUACGGGUGAAAGCAGGGGACCUUCGGGCCUUGCGCGAUUGAAUGAGCCGAUGUCGGAUUAGCUAGCUGGCGGGGUAAAGGCCCACCAAGGCGACGAUCCGUAGCCGGUCUGAGAGGAUGAUCAGCCACACUGGAACUGAGACACGGUCCAGACUCCUACGGGAGGCAGCAGUGGGGAAUAUUGGACAAUGGGCGCAAGCCUGAUCCAGCCAUACCGCGUGGGUGAAGAAGGCCUUCGGGUUGUAAAGCCCUUUUGUUGGGAAAGAAAUCCAGCUGGCUAAUACCCGGUUGGGAUGACGGUACCCAAAGAAUAAGCACCGGCUAACUUCGUGCCAGCCGCCGCGGUAA
rnacentral:rRNA from 1 species